rnacentral:rRNA from 1 species
GACGAACGCUGGCGGCGUGCUUAACACAUGCAAGUCGAACGGAAGGGCCCUGCUUUUGUGUGGUUCUCGAGUGGCGCACGGGUGAGUAACACGUGAGUAACCUGCCCUUGACUUUGUGAUAACUUCAGGAAACUGCGGCUAAUACCGGAUAGGAGCUCCUGCUGCAUGGGGGGGGUUGGAAAGUUUCGGCGGUUGUGGAUCGACUCGCGGCUUACCAGCUUGUUGGUGGGGUAGUGGCUUACCAAGGCUUUGACGGGUAGCCGGCCUGGGAGGGUGGACGGCGACAUGGGGACUACGAGACGGACCAGUCUGGUACGGUAGGCAGCAGUGGGGAGUAUUGCACAGUGAGGGGAAGCCUGAUGCAGCGGCGCCGCGUGCGGGAAGACGUCCUUCGGGUGGUGAACCGCUUUCGCCUGUGACGAAGCGUGAGUGACGGUAAUGAGUAAAGAAGCACCGGCUAACUACGUG